GACGAACGCUGGCGGCGCGCUUAACACAUGCAAGUCGAACGGAAAGGCCUGCUUUCCCUUGUGGAUUGCGGGUACUCGAGUGGCGAACGGGUUAGUAACACGUGAGUGAUCUGCCCCCAACUUGGGUAUAAGCCUGGGAAACUGUGUCUAAUUCCCGAUAGGACUGCAGGGUGGUGCCUGUGGUGGAACACGAUUUUCUUGUGGUUGGUGAUGAGCUCGCGGCCUAUCAGCUUGUUGGUGGGGUAAUGGCCUACCAAGGCGGCGACGGGUAGCCGGCCUGAGAGGGUGGACGGCCACAUUGGGACUGAGAGACGGCCCAGACUCCUACGGGAGGCAGCAGUGGGGAAGAGUGCACAAUGGGCGGAAGCCUGAUGCAGCGACGCCGCGUGGGGGAUGACGGCCUUCGGGUUGUAAACUCCUUUCGACCGCGAGGAAGCCACCUGGUUGGAAGGGUGGUGACGGUAGUGGUAGAAGAAGCACCGGCUAACUACGUG
rnacentral:rRNA from 1 species